UUUCGAAUCAUUCACAAUGGGCGCAAGCCUGAUGGUGCGACGCCGCGUGAGGGAUGAAGGUCUUCGGAUUGUAAACCUCUGUCACUGGGGAGAAAACGCUUUGAGUUAAUAGUUCAAAGCCUGAUUUAACCCGGAGAGGAAGCAGUGGCUAACUCUGUGCCAGCAGCCGCGGUAAUACAGAGACUGCAAGCGUUAUUCGGAUUCACUGGGCGUAAAGGGUGCGCAGGCGGCCGUGUGUGUAAGGUGUGAAAUCCCGGGGCUCAACCCCGGCACUGCGCCUUAAACUACAUGGCUAGAGUAUUGGAGAGGGUAGUGGAAUUCACGGUGUAGCAGUGAAAUGCGUAGAUAUCGUGAGGAACACCAGAGGCGAAGGCGACUACCUGGACAAUUACUGACGCUCAGGCACGAAAGCGUGGGGAGCAAAAGGG
rnacentral:rRNA from 1 species